rnacentral:rRNA from 1 species
GCCUACGGCCAUACCACCCUGAAAGCGCCCGAUCUCGGAAGCUAAGAAGGGACAGGCCUGGUUAGUACCUGGAUGGGAGACCGCCUGGGAAUACCAGGUGUUGUAGGCU